AAGGGAACACCCAAAAGAGGAAGAAAUGACCUGCGGCCAACUUGUACCACUACCUGUUCCAGCAGGUAAGACACUGCAAACAUUCCUAGGAUUCCAUGGAAGCACGAUGCAAAUAGAAAGACUGCUCAUGGCCCCAUCUCAAUCCUCAAAACAGACUUGGCUGGUUCAGUAGAGGAAUCCAUCAUUGCUGGGAGCGAAUAAAAGGUACCAUCAUUUCACCUAGACGGUACCUGCUACAGAUUCACACUCAUCAAACAGGAGGGCAACAGUCUCUGCUGAAGACAAAGACUUGGCUGCACAUUCUGGCCCACUCCAGACAGAUGCAAACACCUGCCUGUUUCUUCCCCGCAGUCUGUAUUGCAUCAUGAACUUCUAGUGCC
rnacentral:lncRNA from 1 species